GGGCAACUAGCUCAGCUGGUGAGAGCGUCUCCCUUACAAGGAGAAGGUCGCUGGUUCGAGUCCAGCGUUGCCCACCG
rnacentral:tRNA from 1 species